AUUGAACGCUGGCGGCAUGCCUUACACAUGCAAGUCGAACGGCAGCGCAGGCUUCGGCCUGGCGGCGAGUGGCGAACGGGUGAGUAAUGCAUCGGAACGUGCCCAGUAGUGGGGGAUAGCGCGGCGAAGGCGGGAUUAAUACCGCAUACGACCUGAGGGUGAAAGCGGGGGAGCGAAAGACCUCGCGCUAUUGGAGCGGCCGAUGUCGGAUUAGCUAGUUGGUGGGGUAAAGGCUUACCAAGGCGACGAUCCGUAGCUGGUCUGAGAGGACGACCAGCCACACUGGAACUGAGACACGGCCCAGACUCCUACGGGAGGCAGCAGUGGGGAAUUUUGGACAAUGGGGGCAACCCUGAUCCAGCCAUGCCGCGUGCGGGAAGAAGGCCUUCGGGUUGUAAACCGCUUUUGUUCGGGAAGAAAUCCUCUGGGCUAAUACCCCGGGGGGAUGACGGUACCGGAAGAAUAAGCACCGGCUAACUACGUG
rnacentral:rRNA from 1 species